GGUUUGGUGGUGUAGUGGUUAUCACGUUCGCUUUACACGCGAAAGGUCCCCGGUUCGAUCCCGGGCGGAACCA
rnacentral:tRNA from 1 species